rnacentral:rRNA from 1 species
AACAAACGCUGGCGGCGUGCCUAACACAUGCAAGUCGAACGUGAAAGUUGGCUUCGGCCGAUGAGUAAAGUGGCGCACGGGUGAGUAACGCGUGGAUAAUCUACCCUUCAGUUGGGAAUAACUCAUCGAAAGGUGAGCUAAUACCGAAUAAUACUGCUUGACCAUGGUCAGGUAGUCAAAGAUAGCCUCUGCUUGCAAGCUUUCGCUGAAAGAUGAGUCCGCGUACCAUUAGCUAGUUGGUGGGGUAAUGGCCUACCAAGGCGACGAUGGUUAGCUGGUCUGAGAGGAUGAUCAGCCACACUGGAACUGAGACACGGUCCAGACUCCUACGGGAGGCAGCAGUGAGGAAUCUUGCGCAAUGGGGGAAACCCUGACGCAGCAACGCCGCGUGAGUGAGGAAGGUCUUCGGAUCGUAAAGCUCUGUCGGGUGGAAAGAAAUGUAUGGGGUUAAUAGCCUUCAUACUUGACGGUACCACCAAAGGAAGCACCGGCUAACUCCGUGCCAGCCGCCGCAGUAAAAC